CCUACGGGGCGCAGCAGUCGAGAAUCAUUCACAAUGGGGGAAACCCUGAUGGUGCGACGCCGCGUGGGGGAAUGAAGGUCUUCGGAUUGUAAACCCCUGUCAUGUGGGAGCAAAUUAAAAAGAUAGUACCACAAGAGGAAGAGACGGCUAACUCUGUGCCAGCAGCCGCGGUAAUACAGAGGUCUCAAGCGUUGUUCGGAAUCACUGGGCGUAAAGCGUGCGGAGGCUGUUUCGUAAGUCGUGUGUGAAAGGCGCGGGCUCAACCCGCGGACGGCACAUGAUACUGCGAGACUAGAGUAGUGGAGGGGGAACCGGAAUUCUCGGUGUAGCAGUGAAAUGCGUAGAUAUCGAGAGGAACACUCGUGGCGAAGGCGGGUUCCUGGACAUUAACUGACGCUGAGGCACGAAGGCCAGGGGAGCGAAAGGGAUUAGAUACCCGAGUAGUC
rnacentral:rRNA from 1 species